UUUGUCUGGCCUGCGCUUGCGCGGGUCUCCGCCGCUUGGGCUCCUAGGGCCUGUGGCCUGGGCGGGAGCAAGCUCGGCUGAAGGCCCGCGUCGUAAACUGGGACACCGAGGCGUGGCAGCGAGACCCCGCCUUCUCGGGUCUGCAGAGGGUCGGGGGCGUUGACGUGUCCUUCGUGAAAGGGGACAGUGUCCGCGCUUGUGCCUCCUUGGUGGUGCUCAGCUUCCCUGAGCUCGAGGCUUUGGGGUGGCCUGCCACCUUGGCGUCCUUACAGACCUGCCUUGCGUUGGGGUGGCCAAGAAACUUCUGCAGGUGGAUGGGCUGGAGAACAACGCCCUGCACAAGGAGAAGGUGAGGAGGGGCCUGCUGCAGGCCGUGCCCGGCAGCUCAGUGGUGGGGCUGUGGUGGCCCUGGGCAUGGGGAUGCUUCUGGACCAGCCCUUGCCUGCUGACGCUGCCCUCCUCAUCCCUGGCUUGUGGCCUGGCGUAAGGAAGACCUGCUUUCCUCCAGGCACUGCCUUGCCUGUCUCAGCCGA
rnacentral:sRNA from 1 species